rnacentral:misc_RNA from 1 species
GAUGAAGAACGUAGCGAAAUGCGAUAAGUAAUGUGAAUUGCAGAAUUCAGUGAAUCAUCGAAUCUUUGAACGCACAUUGCGCCCGCCAGUAUUCUGGCGGGCAUGCCUGUUCGAGCGUCAUUUCAACCAUCAAGCCCCAGGCUUGUGUUGGGGACCUGCGGCUGCCGCAGGCCCUGAAAACCAGUGGCGGGCUCGCUAGUCACACCGAGCGUAGUAGUAUACACAUCGCUCAGGGCGUGCUGCGGGUUCCGGCCGUUAAACCCCUUUUUUACCCAAGGUUGACCUCGGAUCAGGUAGGAAGACCCGCUGAACUUAAGCAUAUCAAUAAGCGGAGGA